CUAUUUGACAGUGAGAGAGAGAGAGAGAGAGAGAGAGAGAGAGAAGGAGAGGGACUGACUGAGGAGGGGGGCAAGGACAAGUGUGUGUGUGUGUGUGUGUGUGUGUGUGUGCAUGUGUGUGUGUGUGUGUGUGUGUGUGUGUGUGUGUGUGUACUGAUGCAGUGAGAGCUGUGAGGAUAAAGCAGAGAGCAGUGAAGGGAUGCAGAGGAGAAUGGAGGGAGCCAAAUAAUCCCUCUGCCUGUGUACUCUUUCACUCUUUCUUUCCUUUCAUUUCUUUCUCUGUCCUGUUAGCAGGCGGACAGUCCUGAAGAUGACUCACUGUGGAAUUUUUUCCAACUCAAAUUCUUUUCAAUCUCUCUCUCUCUCUCUCUCUCUCUCUCUCUCUCUCUCUCUCUCUCUCUCUCUCUCUUUCAUUUAAAAAAAUAAGCCAGUAAUGCUACAGGGUGUCCUAGAGGGCCCGAAGAAUUUCUGUAGAGAGGCAUUUGAGAGAGAGUGAAAAAAAAGAAGAAGAAUGGGACAGGGAAAAGAGGCUGAAAGAAGAGAAGCACACAGGAGGAAAGGAAUGUGGUUCUGAGGACGGAAGAGCACCUGCUGCCCUUCACAACCUAUUUCCUGCGCUAAAGAAAUGAUCCAGAGGAAAAAGGCCACGGAGGAAAAGAAAAAGACUGCACAGAGAAUCUCUUUUCCAACCCUGACAUGAGGAAAGUUUAAACUCCUUUUUUACAUUCCACUCACCAAGCCAUGCUGCAUGCUUUGAGAAUAUGUGGAAAUGCAGGUACGUGUGCUUUUUAAUCUUGCUUCCUAUAUUUGGCUGCAGCCUACCAUCUACCUUUGUAAUGAAGGAUAAUUAUAUAAAAAUAUACAUACUGUAACUAAACUUCCUAGAAUAUAACAGCUGUUAAUGUCAGACAAGCAGUAAAGCUCAACAGUGUACAUGCAGUUGUAUUGGCUUUCUAUCAUAUGUAUGGACCAAAUGUGCUAAAUGGACAGUAUAAAUAAUAAUAAUAAUAAUAAUAAUAAUAAUAAUAAUAAUAAUAAUAAUAA
ensembl:lncRNA